UGGGGAAUUUUCCGCAAUGGGCGAAAGCCUGACGGAGCAAUACCGCGUGAGGGAGGAAUGCCUUUGGGUUGUAAACCUCUUUUCUCAGGGAAGAAGAUCUGACGGUACCUGAGGAAUAAGUAUCGGCUAACUCCGUGCCAGCAGCCGCGGUAAUACGGAGGAUGCAAGCGUUAUCCGGAAUCAUUGGGCGUAAAGCGUCCGCAGGUGGUUUCCAAAGUCUGCUGUUAAAGACUGGAGCUCAACUCCGGAACGGCGGUGGAAACUUGGAAACUAGAGUUCGGUAGGGGUAGCAGGAAUUCCCAGUGUAGCGGUGAAAUGCGUAGAUAUUGGGAAGAACAUCGGUGGCGAAGGCGUGCUACUGGACCGUAACUGACACUCAGGGACGAAAGCUAGGGGAGCGAAAGGGAUUAGAUACCCCUGUAGUCCUAGCUGUAAACGAUGGAAACUAGGUGUGGCUUGA
rnacentral:rRNA from 2 species